rnacentral:rRNA from 1 species
GCAAGUCGAGCGGUAACAGGAAUUAGCUUGCUAGACUGAUGACGAGUGGCGAACGGGUGAGUAACGCGUAGGAAUAUACCUUUUAGUGGGGGACAACUCGGGGAAACUCGAGCUAAUACCGCAUAAGCUCUAUUGAGGAAAGCUGGGGACCUUCGGGCCUGGCGCUAGAAGAUUAGCCUGCGUACGAUUAGCUAGUUGGGGGGGUAAAGGCCCACCAAGGCGACGAUCGUUAGCUGGUCUGAGAGGAUGAUC